UACGGGGGGGGCGAGCGUUGUUCGGAAUUACUGGGCGUAAAGGGCUCGUAGGCGGCCAACUAAGUCGGAUGUGAAAUCCCCAGGCUUAACCUGGGAACUGCAUCCGAUACUGGAUGGCUUGAAUCCGGGAGAGGGAUGCAGAAUUCCAGGUGUAGCGGUGAAAUGCGUAGAUAUCUGGAGGAAUACCGGUGGCGAAGGCGGCAUCCUGGACCGGCAUUGACGCUGAGGAGCGAAAGCUAGGGGAGCAAACGGG
rnacentral:rRNA from 1 species